rnacentral:rRNA from 1 species
UACGUAGGUGGCAAGCGAUACUCGGAAUCACUAGGCGUAAAGCGCAGGUAGGCGGUUUGGUAAGUCUUUCGUGAAAGCUCCCGGCUUAACUGGGAGAGGUCAAGGGAAACUACCGGACUAGAGUGUGGUAGGGGAUACUGGAAUUCCUGGUGUAGCGGUGAAAUGCGUAGAUAUCAGGAGGAAUACCUAUGGCGAAAGCAGGUAUCUGGGCCAUCACUGACGCUGAGGAGCGAAAGCGUGGGGAGCGAACAGG